UGGAAAGAAGUUGUCUUUUGCAAGAAAACUAUCACAUCUUCUUUAACCAAUACCUCCUCCCUCUCUCUCUCUCUCUCUCUCUCUCUCUCUCUCUCUCUCUCACACACACAUUUUCCCAAGAAGUCCUUUUCCAUCUGUCACCAAAAGGAAAUGUAAAAGAAAGGAUUUUCUGGUCCUUCUAUAAAAUCAAAAGAGUCCAGGAUAUCUCCGGAGAUGAUCUUACAUAAUUUGGGACUAAAUUCAAAUCCUUAGCUUAUUAACUCUAGAUGCCAUUUAAGGAACAAAUGCACUUUUUCAAACUGUUUACUUCUUUUGUAUUAAAGUGUAACAAGCAACAUGAUGGAUAAAAAGUGAGAUUAAAAAAGAGUUUGAAUCCUACGUCAAGGGGACUCCUCCUUCAUUUGAGGACUUUUGAAAUCUUCUACUUAAUCUUCUUCUCCUUAUUCCUCUCCCUUAUUCUAGCCAUAUUUAUUAGAUAACCUCCGCAUCUCAGCCACCUUAGAGAGGAAAAGCAUAAAAAGUAGAGAGAUAAGCUUAUUGAGUCAAGUGUGAGUUAAAAUUUGUACUCCUGAAUUUUAACCUUGUGGCGGUAAAGCCACUUUUGUUUAUUAAAGUAGAAAGGUAGCAAGAUAGAGGACAAAUUCAAUUUGAACUCUACCACCUUAGGAGAAUUCAAUUUCAAUUUGAAUUCCACUGAAAGAUAAUUCAAAUUCAAGUUGAACUCCACCUAAGGAGAAUCCAAUUUCAAUUUGAACUCUACUACCCAUAUGCAUCUAUAAAUAUGCACAUCUCCUCACUUUGAAAAUCAUCCCAUUUUGAAUAAGGGCUUUAUUCAUUCUCAUGUAGAAGCCAAAUCUAUUCUUAGUGUGAGAAACAGAGAGAGAGAGAACGAGAAUAUUAGAGAGAGAGAGAGUUAGAAAUGGUCUUUUCUAAAUAUUUGUGUCUUUCCUUUGUAUUACAUUUAUUGGCAUGAGAAGCAAAGAGAGAGUAGGAGAAUAUUAGAGAGAUAAUGAAGAAAAGGUUUCUCCUAAAUAUUCAUGUCUUUCCUUUAUGAGAAACAGAGAGGGAGAAAAUGAGAGUAUUAGAGAGAGAAAAAGAGUCUUUCCUAAAUAUGUGUAUCUUUCCUUUGUAGAGAGAGUAUGUUUUCUCCUAUUAUAAGAGAUAAGGUAUUGUCAAAUUUUAGAGAGAAAUUAUUAUUUAUAUUCUUUUGCUAUAAUGAAAUCCUUCUACAAUUGCCAAUUAUUUUGUGUGUAUUUUUAUCUGAGUAUUUUACAUGCAAAUUUUUCAUUUUUAUAAUUUCGACUUCAGCUGUAAUUGUGUGCCAUACAACACAAUUUCCUAACAGUGGUAUCAGAGCCUGGUUCGUAGGUAUCUGCAACAAUGGCGGUGAAGUGCCAAAAAAAAAAAAAAAAUUCAAUGGGAAUAAUUUUCCAUUGUGGUAAAUGAGAAUGAAAGCAGCUUUAAGAAAAGAUAACUGCUUGGUGGCAAUUGAAGAAAGGCCCGCGGAGAUCGUUGACGACGGCAAGUGGAACGAGAUGGAUGACAAUGCUAUUGCUAAUCUGCACCUAGCACUAGCCAAUGAAGUUUUGUUAAACGUGCAGAAAAAAAGAGGGCAAAAGAAAUAUGGGACACUCCUAAAGAAAAAUCUAUUGUCUUUGGAACAAUUAGAUAAUAGUGGGUGCAAAACCCAUAUUUAAGAUGGGAUCAUGAAUAUAAUUAAAGGCGCGCUUAUGGUGAUGAAAGCAGAAAAGAUAGCUGUAAAUCUGUACAUGUUUAAAGGAGAAACACAACAAGAAGGAGAAGCAUCUAUAGCGUCGGCAAGCUCUACAAAAGAAUCAACGAUGAUGUGGCACCAUAACCUUGGCCAUACGUCGGAAUGAGGUUUGAAGAUUCUUACUGAACAAAAGCUUCUUUCAAGGCUCAAAAAGUUUUCAUUACCAUUUUGUGAGCAUUGUGUUAUUAGUAAGCAGCACCGAUUAAAGUUUAGCAGUUCUAAUGCUAGAAGCAAAGCUAUCUUAGAGUUGAUCUACUCCGAUGUUUGGCAAUCACCAAUUCUGUCCCUAGGAGGUGCAAGAUAUUUUGUAUCUUGUAUUGAUUACUUCAGGAGAUGUUGGGUGUAUCCAGUCAAAAGGAAAGCGGAUGUAUUUCCAGUUUUCAAAAUAUUCAAAGCACGGUUGAAACUUGAAUCUGAAAAGAAGAUCAAGUGUUUGAGAAUGGACAAUGGAGGUGAAUAUAUUGGUGAAGAAUUUGAUAGCCUCUGUUAAUAAGAAGGUAUCAACAGGCAGUUGUGGCGUACACUCCACAGUAAAAUGGAGUAACAGAGCAGAUGAAUAGAAUCUUGUUGGAACAGACAAGAGUGAUGUUGAGAACGGCAGGGAUGACCAAGUCAUUUUGGGUAGAAGCAGUUAAGACCGCCUGCUAUGUGAUCUAACGGACACCAUCAACCGCAAUUGUUCUGAAAAUACAGAUGGAGAUGUGGACUGGUAAGCCAGCUGAUUAUUCGUGCUUACAUAUAUUUGAAAGUCCUGUUUUUGUUAUAUACAACACUCAAGAAACAUCAAAGCUGGAUGUUCUUAGGGCAUGCUGAUGGAGUUAAGGGGUAUCGCCUGUGGGAUCCCACUGCCCACAAGGUAAUAAUCAGCAGAGAUGUAAAAAUUGCAUGUCUUCAUGAAAAACAUGAAGAAGAGAUUUACAUGCUCCAACUAGGAGGUUUUUGAAGAAAAAGAAAAGGAGAACUUGGUUUGCAGUAGGUUGAACAAAUCUCUAUAUGAUCUCAAAUAAGCGUCGAAAUGUUGGUAUAAGAGAUUUGAUUCCUUCAUCAUGAGCCUUGGAUACAAUAGACUUAGUUCAGAUCCUUGUGUUUACUACAAGGGAUUUGGUGAUGAUGAUUUCAUUAUUUUGCUAUUGUAUGUUGACGACAUGUUGAUAGCAGACCCAAACAAAGAUCGUCUUAAAGAUUUGAAGGCACAGUUGGCUAGGGAGUUUGAAUGAAGGACUUGGGACCAACAAAAAAGAUUCUAGGGAUGCGAAUUUAUCGAGACAGAAAUAAUAGAAAGAUUUGGCUUUUUGAGAAGAAUUACUUGAAGAAAAUUUUGCAGCAUUUCAACAUGCAAAAUUGUAAGCCAAUUCUUAUCCUUCUUCCUAUUAAUUUCAAGUUAUCCUCAAGUAUUCACCCUAGCAAUAAAAAAGAGAGGAUGGAAAUGUCUCGAGUACCAUAUGCAUGAGCAGUGGGUAACUUAAUGUUUACUAUGGUAUGCAAAAAACCAGACAUUGUACAAGCAGUUGGAGCGGUUAGUCGGUACACGGCGAAUCCUGGUAGAGAAAGCAUUGGAAUGUUGUGAAGAGGAUCCUAAAAUAUGUGAAGGGUACCUCAAAUGUUGCAUUAUGUUAUGAAGGAUCAGACUUUAGAUUCUCCAUUGGCCUAGCAGAAACAUGAGUAGCAUGAGAAUGAAAUGGCAAGUAGAAAGGAUAGAAGGGCUAAAGCAAAAGUGACUUUAAGUGGGAGAUAUGUGGCGGUAAAGCCACUUUUGUUGACAGAAGUAGAAAGAUAGCAAGAUAGAGGACAAAUUCAAUUUGAAAUCUACCACUUUAGGAGAAUUUAAUUUCAGUUUGAAUUCCACCGAAAGAGAAUUCAAAUUCAAGUUGAACUCCUUCUAAGGAGAAUUCAAUUUCAAUUUGAACUCUACUACCCAUAUGCAUCUAUAAAUAUGCACAUCUCCUCACUUUGAAAAUCAUCCCAUUUUGAAGAAGGGCUCAAUUCAUUCUCAUGUAGAAGCCGAAUCUAUUCUUGGUGUGAGAAACAUGAGAAACAGAGAGAGAGAAGGAGAAUAUUAGAGAGAGAGAGUUAGAAAUUGUCUUUCCUAAAUAUUAGAGAGAGUAGGAGAAUAUUAGAGAGAUAAUGAAGAAAAGGUUUCUCUUAAAUAUUCGUAUAUUUCCUCUGUGAGAAAUAGAGAAGGAGAAAAGGCGAGUAUUAGAGAGAACAGGCGAGUAUUAGGAGAAAAGGUUUCACUAUCUUUCUUUUAUAGAGAGAGUGUGUUUCCUUCUAUUAUAAGAGAGAAUGCAUACCGACACAAGAUUUUAACCGGAAGGAGGUCAAGAAUGCAAACUAUCAGACAAACUGUUGGGCUUGCUGGCUUCCGUAAGAGGGAUGAGAGUGCACAUGAUGCUUUUGGAUCUGGUCAUAUUUCUAUUAGUAUUUCAGCUGGUCUACGUGACCCAAUCAACUGUGCUAUACUUUACAUUUACUCUUUUAUUUUUUAUUUAUUUAUUUAUUAUUAUUUUUUUCCCCCUCAAUUUUGGGCUGAUAGGUAAUUUUUUUUGGGCUAUUUGAAUUUCAGGAAUGGCAGUUGCUAGAGACAUGUGUCAGGACCCGUCCAGAAUUCCUUCCCCGGAACCCUAGACAGCCCUGAUCCCAGGGAAACCCUAUCGAACCCUCCAACGAAAAAUCCGGCAGAGCCUCCCCUAAGGGAUUUACUUACCACAAAUUACCUGCACUGAAAACACACUUCUAACAACAUCCCCUUAUUCCUCCCACAGACUACAAAUUAUUUCCACAAAUUUCAGCACUUCAGUAUAAAACAACAGCAGCAACCCAGUGCAUAAAGAACAACUACACGUCCAAUACAGUAUACAAAGCAUUAUACAACAAAUAUGGAAUUUAUAAAAUGACAGAUAAAGAAGUAAUACAAGAUAGAGAGGAAAAAAAAGGGAAGAAAUACUUCUUGGACCUUCGGCACGAACUGAGACGUUGGGCUCGCCUCGGACAAUCAACGUCUCCAACCUGGACCUAGGGGAACGAAAUUUAAGAGUGUGAGAUGCUAAUCAUCUCAGUGAGUGACCCUAUCUACUACACAAUAUAAUAUCACAGAAUAAUAAUUAAUUGGAAAUAAUAAUUUCUCUCAAAA